rnacentral:rRNA from 1 species
GACGAACGCUGGCGGCGUGCUUAACACAUGCAAGUCGAACGGUAAGGCCCUUCGGGGUACACGAGUGGCGAACGGGUGAGUAACACGUGGGUGAUCUGCCCUGCACUUCGGGAUAAGCCUGGGAGACUGGUCUAAUACCGGAUAGGACUCCUGGCUUCAUGGUUGGGGGUGGAAAGCUUUUGCGGUGUGGGAUGGGCCCGCGGCCUAUCAGCUUGUUGGGGGGGUAAUGGCCUACCAAGGCGACGGAGGGUAGCCGGCCUGAGAGGGUGACCGGUAGCAUUGGGACUGAGAUACGGCCCAGACGCCUACAGGAGGCAGCAGUGGGGAAUAUUGCACAAUGGGCGCAAGCCUGAUGCAGCGACGCCGCGUGAGGGAUGACGGCCUUCGGGUUGUAAACCUCUUUCAGCUAUGACGAAGCGCAAGUGACGGUAGUAGCAGAAGAAGGACCGGCCAACUACGUGCCAGCCGCCGCCGUAA